rnacentral:rRNA from 1 species
CGGGUGAGUAACGCGUGGGUAACCUGCCUCAUACAGGGGGAUAACAGUUGGAAACGACUGCUAAUACCGCAUAAGCGCACAGGAUUGCAUGAUCCAGUGUGAAAAACUCCGGUGGUAUGAGAUGGACCCGCGUCUGAUUAGCCAGUUGGCGGGGUAACGGCCCACCAAAGCGACGAUCAGUAGCCGACCUGAGAGGGUGACCGGCCACAUUGGGACUGAGACACGGCCCAA